AAUGUGCUCCACACGAGUCCUGUUAAUCAAAUGUUGACUGUGACACAAGGAGCACAGAGUGAAAUGUGUGCCCCUAUGGUGACCUGCAUUGUGCGGAGUCAACUUUCCUAGCACUCAAACAUAUUU
rnacentral:snoRNA from 1 species